rnacentral:rRNA from 1 species
GACGAACGCUGGCGGCGUGCUUAACACAUGCAAGUCGAACGGUAAGGCCCUUCGGGUACACGAGUGGCGAACGGGUGAGUAACACGUGGGUGAUCUGCCCUGCACUUCGGGAUAAGCCUGGGAAACUGGGUCUAAUACCGGAUAGGACCAUGGACUUCACGGUUUGUGGUGGAAAGCUUUUGCGGUGUGGGAUGGCCCGCGGCCUAUCAGCUUGUUGGUGGGGUAAUGGCCUACCAAGGCGACGACGGGUAGCCGGCCUGAGAGGGUGUCCGGCCACACUGGGACUGAGAUACGGCCCAGACUCCUACGGGAGGCAGCAGUGGGGAAUAUUGCACAAUGGGCGCAAGCCUGAUGCAGCGACGCCGCGUGAGGGAUGACGGCUCGGUGUAAC